rnacentral:lncRNA from 1 species
CUUCUGCAGAGCAGCUGCCCAGCACUGGGGGCUGGGGCACCACCCUAAGCCUGCAGCGAGGGGGCAAGAGGCCCCCUGGGAUCGGGAAUAAGGAGGAUGUGAAAGCCCAGCCAGGACACAACAUCCAGCUCUGGUCUUCACUGGGCCCCUAGGGGAGCCAGAGAGGGGAGCUCUUGCCAGAAGCAAUUAGAAGCCAUUUGGAAGACCAGAUCUGGCAGCAGAACCGCCGCCCUGGGCCCAUUGCAGGCGCCUCUGCACCAACAGCGGCAAACCCAAGAGGGCAGCUUGGCCUGGUGAACAGCGGCCAAGCACGAGGCUCGCAGGGGCUGGAUGGCAAAGCUAGUGCUGUGGGAUUCCAAUGCUUUCACCCUGGAUGCACCCUUGGACAUCGCUGUGUUGUUCCCCUGGAAGCCUGUUGAGAUCCUGGCCGCUGUGGACUAUUUCCUAUCGUCUGCAUCAGGCAUCUCGAGCUCAGCUCAGAUCUGCACACAUGAGCCUGUCUGCGUAGCCUCCUGCGGCUGCAGUCACAAAUGGCCCACAGACUUAUGGCUGAAACAACAUGAAUGCAUUCUCCCACAGCUCUGGUGGUCAGAAGCCCAACCGGCUCUCAUGGAGCUGAAAUCAAGGUGUCGGCAGGGCUGGUCCCUUCUGGAGGUGCAGGGAAGAAUCCAUUUCCUACCUUUUCUGGCUUCCAGAGGCUUCUGUAUUCCUGGGCUCAUGGUGCCUCUGAUGUCACCACGACCUCUGCUUCCAUUGCCACUGCCUGCUGCUGACCCUCCUGCCCCUGACCUCCCGCCUCCCUCCUACAAGGAUGCCCGUGAUGACCUUGGGCCACCCAGAUGACCAGGAUGGUCCCCACCUGGAGGCCCCUUGCUCAGUCCCAUCUGCACAGGCCCUACUGCCGUGGGAGAGGCACAUAGCAGGCUCCGGGGACCAGGACGGGGGUGCCUCCCAGGACCUCUUUCCCAGGCUGAGCGUUUCAUAGCAGGCUCCGGGGACCAGGAUGGGGGUACCUCCCAGGGCCUCUUUCCCGGGCUGCAUGUUUCUUUCCUAGUCCGACUCCUGUCUUCUAACACUGGUUUUGGUGUCUUUUGUUACACAACUGCUUUAACUUCUUAUGUAACUGAAGACGUCCAUCUUGUCCUUUUUGGGAUUAGAAUUUGGGGUAGAAAGUCUUUUCCUCCACCGGAAUUAUACAACUAUUCCAUUUUUCUUCUUUUAAACUUUUUUUGCAAUUUAGCGGAUUUAUCUGCACAGAAUUUAUUGUGUCCGUAAGGUGGGGUUCUAACUUUGUUUUUCCAGAUGGUGGAUUGAUCGGCCCAACGAUGCCUUUGAAUGAUUCUUUCCUCUCUUUCAAACAUGACCAAUUUCCUACAUUAAAUUCUCUUGUAAAUGGCCAUAUGCUAGACUUGAUUUUUUUGUUUGUUUGCUUUUUGAGACAGAGUCUCCUUCUGUCACCCAGGCUGCAGUGCAAUGGCGUGAUCUCAGCUCACUGCAACCUCUGCCUCCUGGGUUCAAGCGACUUUCCUGCCUCAGCCUCCCAGGUAGCAGGGAUUAUAGGCGCCCGCCACCACACCCGGCUAAUUUUUGUAUUUUUUAGUAGAGGCGGGGUUUCGCCAUGUUGGCCAGGCUGGUCUCGAACUCCUGACCUCAAAUGAUCCACCCACCUCGGCUUCCCAAAGUGCUGGGAUUACAGGCCUGAGCCACUGCACCCGGCCUCAAUUUAAAAUCCACUUAUCUGUUUCUAUACUGAAAUUCCUCCUGGAUUAACACAGUUUUAGAGUAUAUUUUGGUAACUAGAAGGGCAAGGCCCCCGGCUUUUCUGCAGGAUCUUUGAACAUCGUGUCUCUCACGUUCUGCCUGCUCAUUUGUAAAUCAGUGUUGUCACAGACUUUCCAUGCUACCCCCCGAUUUCUACAUGGCUCCGUCCUGCUUUCCUCCGUGCUACCCCCGGAUUUCUACAUGGCUCCGUCCUCCUUUCCUCCGUGCUACCCUCCGAUUUCUAAAUGGCUCCGUCCUCCUUUCCAAAUAUUUAUUCCUCCGUAUUGUAUUUCCCUGGCCACUUUUCUUACCAGCAAUCUUACACCUUCCAUUUAAUAUAGCCAAAGUUUUUUUUUUUAUGACUAUAUUUUUCAUUUAAAUCGGUUCUGCCACUUCAAUUCCAAAUCCAUUUCUUUUGCUCCGGACUUUCAUUAUGACUCCCUCUUUUGUAUUAAAUAAUUUUAGAUAAACACAUGUAUUUCCUGCUGUUCAAUUAUUCCCUGUCUGCACAGUGCUGAUUGUGUGUUCACUGCACUUGAUCCUGACAGUUCAUUUCUUCCUGUGACUGUUUAUUGGAGCUCAAACUCGGUAGGAGUUGUUCUGUGUAUCUUUUGUUGUUGAUGCUGUUGUUUGGAGACUGUCUCAUGAAUGCUGGGCUGAGGAAAUGUCCUCAUUUACCAGAUCCUCUGGCCUGGGGUUCUGUGAAUUUCUUUCUUAGGGAUUCUGUGCUGUGCCAACCAUGCAGUCACCAGACUCAGGUGUCGAGAAGGUCUGGAGAUUCUAUUUCUUACGGGAAACUUCUUUCCUCUACUCAAAGCCUGGACAGACAGCAAUUUUCCUCAUCAUGUCCCCAGGCCAGGGGACAAAAAGGUUUCAGAUCCACUUUUCACAGCAAUUUUCUUCAUCACGUCCCCAGGCCAGGGGGCAAAGAGGUUUCGGAUCCACUUUUCACAGCAAUUUUCCUCAUCACGUCCCCAGGCCAGGGGGCAAAGAGGUUUCGGAUCCACUUUUCACAGCAAUUUUCCUCAUCACGUCCCCAGGCCAGGGGACAAAGAGGUUUCGGAUCCACUUUUCACAGCAAUUUUCCUCAUCACGUCCCCAGGCCAGGGGACAAAAAGGUUUCGGAUCCACUUUUCAUAGCAAUUUUCCUCAUCACGUCCCCAGGCCAGGGGGCAAAAAGGUUUCAGAUCCAC